CCUAGCAGACUGCGUAGUAGACUAGGAGGAAAAUGUUGCUGUUGCAAGAUUUAAAAUAUUCCGAUAAAGAAUAUUCCAAAAUUAUAAUAAAAUAAUUAUGAUUAUCGAUUUUUUUCAAAAAGCUGAAAAUUAAAUUCAUAAAUGGUAAAAUCCUUUACGUACACACUUGUAUAAAAUUUGAAAAAUAAUAUUUUCUGAUUAUUGAUUGAAUGUAUUCAAACAAUUAAUCACAAGUAACUAUCUAAAUUGGUGACAUUUGGCAACAGUGAGUAGAUCUGGUUUAGGUUUAUUUAUGUAUGUUUAUUCCAAACAUAACCUUAUAAACAAACAGUUGUUUAUUUAGAGUUAUUUAUUAUUGUUUUCUCAUAUUUUGCAAUUGUUAAGUUGGUUUACUUCGAAUUUAAUGUGCAUUACUGUGGUAUUUCUCCAGUUUUCUAAGAAGGUUGGUGAUUUUGAAUUGGGAUUAUGAUGAAUUUAACCCAAAGGCAAUGUGUGUGUUUAUUUAUGUGGCAAAAUUCCAGGCAGCAUAAAAAUUUGAGUUUCUUCCUGUUGCCCAUGGAUGAAAAUCGGUUUGCAGAAUGAAAAGAAAUUGUUCAAUGUGAUAAACUUUCUAUGAACAGUCCUCAGUGUUGUUACAUUUACUUUUAAAUAUGCAUCUUGAGGAGCAGGCCUUUGCAGAAAUACUGAAAAGCGGGUUGCAAAACAACGCAAAAUAAAAUAAACGAAAUAUGUCUUGAGAUUAAACAUUCAAGUUGAAGGUGUGUUCUUUCUUAAACUGGAAUGAUAAUUUUGUAAUUCUGUAGGCACAUCUAUUGAGAAGUUACAACCAGUGGCAAAGUGCCUUAAGGGAAUCUAUGACAUAUAUAAUUGAAGGUAUGAGUAUAUGUUUCAAAUCGUUGGAUGAUUCUGAGAAAGUGUAAAUUUUUUUCAUGAAUUUGGUACAUAACCGUCUUUAUCUAAACUCUAAAAAUCAUUGACAUCUGUUUUGAAGAACCAUGUUCCUAGAAACCAUUGAUAACAAAUAUAGACGGUUACCUCUGCAUUCGUUGUAUCAUCUUACUACUCUAUCCAUAGUGAGUCUAAUUUUUAAAUCUAUAAUAAUUGUUUACGUGCUGGUUUCAUAAAGAUGCUUCAAAAAUCUAUAUGGGCCUUACUAGGCAGCACAGCCAUGCCUUUAAUAGUUUUUCCAAUUAUAUUUUCAAUAUGCUUAUUCUAGUUAAGAUUGCGGGACAAAAAGACCACUAAAUAUUUGAGUUCAUUUUUAGGUAUCAGCAUUGGCUCUACAGCCCAUGGUGGGUCUUGGCCUGUUCCAGAAUCAGCUUCCACUCUUUCCUAUCCUUUGCUUGGAUUUCCAAUUUCUCACUCGAGCAUGAAUUUUUGGUAUAUAUGGGAUUAUAUUGUGAUAACGACCAGAUCUAUGAAAGAAUAGUAUGUUGUUAAAGAAGAUUGUGGUGACACUAUUCAUGAAUAUCUGAUAAUAUUGGUUAAUGUGAAUGGAGUCCAAAAUGGGGUUUAGGCUGUUAUAUAAAAAACUAGGUCAUUAGCAUAUGGAAGUAGGGCGACAUUAUCUGGUAUUAAAUUAUGUGAAUGAGGAGAAUUAAACCUAAAAACUCUAUUUAUUCUGCUAAUCAAUAUGAAUUUAAUAUAUUUUAAUAUAAAACAUAUGUUAUUCUUUCUAGGGACACCUCCUCUGAAGGAAUUACAAUUAUUUGCCAGUAUGUCAAAUGAAUUUUCAACAUCAGUCAUACUUUCAUGAAUUUAUUGAUAAAAAUAAAACUAGGUACAUGAUUUAUUAUUUACUUCCAAGGGAUUCUAAGAUACUAUGUGUAAAAAGUCCAAUAUGCAGUGAUGAGCAUGCUAAUAACUGGCAAAAUAUGGGAUAUAACGCCAAAGAUGGGAAACAUGGGAUGCAUUCUGAAGUAAAAAGAGAUGAAACUGAGAGAAAUUAUCGAUAUAAACAUAUAAAUUAACAUUGCAUUACAUAGUUUCCCACCUUUAGACGUAUCAGAUGAGUAUGAGAACUGUCACUGUGCCAGGAGAAUUUUAUAAAAUACUCCUGUCACAGAGAUCUAAAGGUGGGAAACUAUGUAAUGUUAUCGUCGGCUAAGAGUGUUAACCUGCUAACUCUAUUUUUCACUGUGAGUGAUAUUGGGGUAGUUUCUAGGUCUGUGUACCUUCAUACCAUGUCCCACAAGCCCGCUGGUUCCACUGUAGUUUAGAGAUAGCUAUUUCUAAACUACAUUGGUGUCGGCGGGUUUGUGUGGUGGUGUAUGAAAAUACACGGACCCAGAAACUAGCCCAAUAUCACUCAAAGUGAAAAAUGGAGAUUAAAACUCUUAUCCAAGGUUAUGUUAAUUUAUUCGUUUAUAACGAUAAGUUCCACUUCUACCAGUUUCAUCUCUUUUUAUCUCACAAGUUAAUAUGUUUUCCAUCUUUUGCGUUAUUUUGCCGGUUAUUAGUGUGAGUGCUCAUUACUGUAUAUUUACGAUUCUGUGAUUUCUCAAUAUGAUGCUGAGUAGGUAUAGAUCUGAGUAGGUAUAUAGUAGGUAUCUACAACCCUUUCAAAACAGAAAUUUAUAAGUUCAUUUUAUGUACCUAUUAAACUUUAUUUUAAGGAUGAAUUUGAAAUGCUUGUAGGGAAUAUAUCUGUAAAAAAUAAAAUUGGUAUUGUAAAAUUGAAAUUCUCAAAAUAUAAUUUAUAAUUCGAA